UACAGAGGGGGCAAGCGUUGUUCGGAAUUACUGGGCGUAAAGGGCGCGUAGGCGGCCUGCUAAGUCGAACGUGAAAUCCCCGAGCUCAACUCGGGAACUGCGUCCGAUACUGGCAGGCUUGAAUCCGGGAGAGGGAUGCGGAAUUCCAGGUGUAGCGGUGAAAUGCGUAGAUAUCUGGAGGAACACCGGUGGCGAAGGCGGCAUCCUGGACCGGCAUUGACGCUGAGGCGCGAAAGCCAGGGGAGCAAAGCGGG
rnacentral:rRNA from 1 species